ACUCAAAGGAAUUGACGGGGGCCCGCACAAGCGGAGGAGCAUGUGGUUUAAUUCGAUGAUACGCGAGGAACCUUACCUAGGCUUAAAUGUAGAGCGAUAGCCAGAGAAAUCUGGUUUUCCUUCGGGACGAUCUACAAGGUGCUGCAUGGUUGUCGUCAGCUCGUGCCGUGAGGUGUCGGGUUAAGUCCCAUAACGAGCGCAACCCCUAUUCUUUGUUGCCAUCAGGUAAUGCUGGGCACUCUAAGAAAACUGCCUACGCAAGUAGUGAGGAAGGUGGGGAUGACGUCAAAUCAGCACGGCCCUUACGCCUAGGGCUACACACGUGCUACAAUGGCCGUUACAGAGGGCAGCUACCUGGCGACAGGAUGCUAAUCUCUAAAAGCGGUCUCAGUUCGGAUUGAAGUCUGCAACCCGACUUCAUGAAGUUGGAUUCGCUAGUAAUCGCGCAUCAGCCUUGGCGCGGUGAAUACGUUCCCGGGCCUUGCACACACCGCCCGU
rnacentral:rRNA from 1 species